AUUGAACGCUGGCGGCAGGCCUAACACAUGCAAGUCGAACGAGUGGCGGACGGGUGAGUAAUGCCUGGGAAACUGCCUGAUGGCGGGGGAUAACUACUGGAAACGGUAGCUAAUACCGCAUACCAUCGGAUGUGCCCAGAGGGGAUUAGCUAGUAGGUGGGGUAACGGCUCACCUAGGCGGCGAUCCCUAGCUGGUCUGAGAGGAUGACCAGCCACACUGGAACUUGGACACGAUCCGGACUCCUACGGGAGGCAGCAGUGGGGAAUAUUGCACAAUGGGCGCAAGCCUGAUGCAGCCAUGCCGCGUGUAUGAAGAAGGCCUUCGGGUUGUAGAGUACUUUCAGCGGGGAGGCAUUACCCGCAGGAGAAGCACCGGCUGAGUCCGUGCCAGCAGCCGCGGUAAUAC
rnacentral:rRNA from 1 species